AAAAUAUCGCAAACCAAUCGCCCGCACGUACGAGCGAGGUCUCGUGCCCUCGAGCGAGAAACAGUCGCCCGACUCUGUGCCCUCCUUCGCCCGCCGCCGCCCUUCGUCCCUUCACCGCCACCGCUCCAUCCCUUCGCCGCCGCCCUGGCCAACGAGCCUCCCUCGAUCUGUUUCUUAAGAUCUCUCGAGACCGCCCCAGCCCCGAGACAGGUAGCCACCGAGAUCUGAGAUCGGAGAUGAGCCGCCUCCGCUGAGGAACGAGAGGAGCCGCCGCCUCCAGGUCGUCGUUGUGCCACACCGCCGCCUCCAGGUCGCCGCCGUCACGCACUGCCUCAGGUGUUCGUUUUGCACAUGUUCAUAGUGGGCAACCUCGAGGUCAUCCUCACUUCGAGCGCGGCGAGAUCCUCAAGGUCGUCAUCAUCACAGACAAGGGCACUGGCAGAUCCAAUGGCGGCAGAUUCGAGGCGGAGGCGGCCAUUAGGGCGUGCUUCAGUCCGUACCCGAUGAUUGGCGGCCGGAGGGCAACUGCAACCUCGCAUGCCUCGGGUCCAGAGGUCCAAGGCACCACAACCAACUGCCUCUUCAGCCAUAUGCUGGGUGUCCGUGUUGAACGUAGCAGAUGGUUGCCCUUCAAGCAUCAACAAAUUGGAAAUUUCAAGCCCUGAUGAGAUUACAAGCAGGGCAGAAAGGGAAUCAACACCAUCACGCCAAAACAUUGAAGGUGAAUAAGUGAACCAUUAUUUAAGUAAAUAGACGAAUCAUAUUUUGUUAGAACUAACCAGUUGCUGCUAAUAUAAUCCUCUCCAGGAAGAUCAGUUUCAGACAAUAUAAUCUGCUAUUUACUUUCUAAUUUCUAUGUAUUUAAGCAUGUUCAAACUCAGUACAAUUGUACAAAUGGAUAUAUUUUGAUUUGGUGACUUGCUAAAGACGAUUGUUCUGGACAGAACCUGGACCUUAUGAUAUCUACCUAUAUAUAUGUUUCUGGCCGCAUGUCUACUUAUUCUCUUAAGGCCACAGUAGGACCGAUCGACACUAGAUAUAUCUAAUAACUGUAUCAUGGUUUUCGCAAAAAAAAUUAAAAAAUAACUAUCAUGGGAUCACAUGCCAUUCUUUUUGCUGAAAAAUCACCUGGCUUUAUUGGAAAUGAAUUACCAGGACAGAUCCUGUGCACAUUAUGCUUGGCUAACACCUUUCAUUUAUCACAAACUGAUGGGGAAUAAACACUAAGUAUGCAUGUCUUUCUAUCCUUCUGAUCAUAGCCAUCUUUGGUGUCAAGUGAUAUUAAAAUUCUGAAACUACACACACAUAGUUUAGGGGUUGUCCAUACAAUAAUCUGCAUAAGUAUGUGUCUAUAAAAUCAGCAGCAGUGGUUGUUCCUUUAGGUUGCUAGAAAUGCUUUUAGCUACAACAUUAUUUCUGUCAAAAACAUUCCAGCUGCCACAUGUGUACUCGUUUCAUUGUGUAGCGUAUUUCCGAAAAUGAUAAUUCCUACGAUUCAAAGUUUUUGGACAAAGUUUGAAACUCGAAGGACGACUGCCGUAGUAGGACGAAGAAAUGAUGUCGCGCACUGGAGGGUGUUGCCGUCGGUCGUGCGUUAGGCGUCUGUUCUACUGAAAGUCGCUCCCAGGAGGGCGUCCAUGGUCUAUGCCUCGAGAAGCAAAGAAGGGACUCCAACUACAUCAUUGACACAGCAGCCGAGCAGAGCAUGAAAGCAUGUCGUUGAUACAAAUAUUCAGUUGCCACGGCCAUUGAUACAACAGCGGGGCAGAUCAUGAAUGUCAGAGACACGGUGGAGGUGACGCUACCUUUCUCGUCUUGGCAUCAUGCAGAUACUGGUAGUUUAGAUGUUAUUUGCCACACCGCGGAGAUCUCAUGUUCAAGCCCAUCGGAAGUGCAUAAUUUUGGUGAAGGUCGAUGUAAAUGAUUUUACUUGAGUUGACACUUCUCCUCCGGUCUCAUUUACCAUCAGUAUUGGAAUUGGAUGUCGUUCCUAUUACACAACAAAAUGGGCAAGGUUAGGUUGCGGUUCAGUGUGGCAUUCUGGCAUAUGUUUCGGGGUACUGGAGGAGAUCCUUUUGGUGCACCUACAAAGAACUGGCCUUGGGAGGAUGGCACAAAUUCCCUGGCCAUGGCUAAGAGAAGAAGUAUGGGAAUUACCUGAUCUUGUGUCUUAGGUCCAUGGCUGGAAUCAACAACUUAUGCUUCGAUUUCUGUUUCGGUGAUAUCUCAAUUCGAGUUCAUGAAGAAGCUUGGAGUUGACAGGUGGUGCUUCCAUGACAGGGACAUCGCCCCUGAUGGGAAAACACUCGCGGUAUGAUUUUAUUAGAAUGAUUCUUGAAGUUGCAAGUUGCAACCUCGAGUUAGGGGAAUUGAGACGGGUAGUGACCGACAUUAGAGCAGGUUUAUUAUGAUUGUAUUUACAAGGGUACAUGACUAUGUUUUCAACACAAGGAAUAUGGUUAUUGAUGGUUUACGCCCCGGCUGCGCCCACAUCGUCCCGACACCAAGUUCAAGACCAAGUUCUAACCCCUGUACCCAAUCUACCUCCAUGGAUCGUGUCUCUCACUACCCAAGAGCAUCAAUUCAACUCAAUAGAUUGACAAAAGAGAUGAACCUAGAGUUUGAGGCUUGGGUAGUGUGGACAUUGACCUAAUGAUGAGUGUUGUAUGGUGGUCAAGUGGUGCCACUUCCCCUCGCCACACGCUGCUUAGUCUGCUCAUUGAAGGUGCUCUCUGUUGGUGUUUGGCUGCUGCUGCUACUGUAGGUCAAGGGCAUGCUAUGAUUACUUUGGUGGAGACAUAUUUAAGAAUGGUGUUAUCACUGAAUGCCCCUGAUGUCUGCCAAGAAGAAGGGAGCAAGCGGCAGAAGAUUAUGAUAUUGCUACUAUUGGGAGAUGCAGUCAAAUAUGGACAAGUUCCUGUAUUUUAUGGAAGGUGUAGUAUUGAAGCUUCUUGCACUGAUCUAGAAUGGAUCUUGACUUCGCCCAAGAGUGAGGUAUAUUGAGAUUAAUGGCACACAGUUACAUACUGAUAGGAGAACUGGUUGCGGUUUGUCAUUAUUUCCUUGCAUCUACAGAUGUGAAAGCGCAUGUUACAUAAGAAAUCAUUAUCUCUGAAGCAUACUCACAUUGGACCAAGAACUAGGCGAGGUUCAGACUUCAGAGAAAUGAUAACAAGUCUCCUUUUCAUUCGAGCGGGGCGAUGAGGGAAAGAACUGGUUGUGGUGAAAGUCAGUUUAGUGCAUCAAGGAUUGGAGGUUCUGAGAUUUGCAAGAGGUGAUGGAGGAUGUUUAGUUACUUUGGCUCCUGAUAGAGUACUGGAAGAUGAGUACAAGCAUAAGCUUAUUCAAAAUCUGAAGUUCCUGACUGCAUGAGACAUGUACUCCCUCUGUUCCUAAAUAUAAUUCCUUUUAGAGAUUCCACUAUAGAGACUAGAUUCGGAUGUAUAUAGACGCCUUUUAGAGUAUAUGUUUGCUCAUUUUGCUCUGUACGUAGUCUAUAGUGAAAUCUCCAAAAGACUUAUAUUUAGGAACGGAGGGAGUAUUUUGUAAUCUUUUUUUUCUUCUUUUUCAUUUUCUUCUACUUAUUUUCAGUUUGAACGAACGGAGGGAACAACAUGAAGAUGGGUAGCACUAUACAGUUUUAUAGCAGGAACAUUUUGCGAGCUUCUUAAAUUUGGUAUCUAUGAAUAGUUGAUUUGUUCGUUUUGAUU